rnacentral:rRNA from 1 species
GUGGGGAAUAUUGGACAAUGGGCGAAAGCCUGAUCCAGCCAUGCCGCGUGUGUGAAGAAGGUCUUCGGAUUGUAAAGCACUUUAAGUUGGGAGGAAGGGUAGUAACCUAAUACGUUGCUACUUUGACGUUACCGACAGAAUAAGCACCGGCUAACUUCGUGCCAGCAGCCGCGGUAAUACGAAGGGUGCAAGCGUUAAUCGGAAUUACUGGGCGUAAAGCGCGCGUAGGUGGUUCAGUAAGUUGGAAGUGAAAUCCCCGGGCUGAACCUGGGAACUGCUUUCAAAACUGCUGAGCUAGAGUACGGUAGAGGGUGGUGGAAUUUCCUGUGUAGCGGUGAAAUGCGUAGAUAUAGGAAGGAACACCAGUGGCGAAGGCGACCACCUGGACUGAUACUGACACUGAGGUGCGAAAGCGUGGGGAGCAAACAGGAUUAGAAACCCCAGUAGUCC